rnacentral:rRNA from 1 species
AGGAAAGAAGCCGCGGUAAGACGUAGGGCGAGACCGUUACCCGGAAUUACUGGGCGUAAAGGGGGCGUAGGCGGUGAUACAAGUCAUCUGUGAAAACCUAUUGCUCAACGAUAGGCUAGCGGAUGAAACUGUAUUACUUGAGUGCACCAGAGGUAGACGGAAUUACCCGAGUAGGGGUGAAAUCCGCAGAUACGGGUAGGAACGCCGGUGGAGAAGUCGGUCUACUGGGGUGUAACAGACGCUGAGGCCCGAAAGCUAGGGGAGCAAACCGGAUUAGAUACCCGGGUAGUCCUAGCCGUAAACGAUGCUCACUAGGUGUAGGGAGUGACAAACGCUCUGUGCUGAAGCAAACGCGCUAAGUGAGCCGCCUGGGGAGUACGUCCGCAAGGAUGAAACUUAAAUGAAUUGGCGG